rnacentral:lncRNA from 1 species
GUCGGAAAAGAUAAGUUCCAUUGUUUCUAAUUGUUAAAAUUGUUACAAUGAAAGAUAUAACUAAGAAGUAACUACAGUCGCCGAGAGAUAUAAAUGAGACCCAUAUUGUCCCAGGUACUUUUGCUCCUUGAAUGGUAUAAAUUUCUCAUUCACAUCUCCAUAAUUAUAGAGUCAGAGAAUAAAAUUAGUUAAUGGACACAUAAUCAUUUCAAUAGCUACAUAGCAUUGCAGCCCGAAUCAUCAUCAAAAAUAUUCAUUAUUUUUUUGGCAAUGUGUCCGUUUGACAAAAUGGUUACUCAGCAGAGUGUCCGUGUACUAUGUUAAUUGUUUAUAGCUCACUGCUUAACAAGAUUCAACUCGAGUUCAAUUGAUAAACGACAAUAACGCUAAUAAGGGGAGAGAUUUAAGCUGUUCAUGAAAACCUACUUAUUGUGAAAAUACUUUUUUAUUAAUGAAAACCAUGGACUUGAAACUUGGGACUCGAAUCGAUCACACAAUCAAAGACACUAAACUUGACUUGUUUUCGAAAGCUAAGACUCGCAAAUCGACUUGGAUCCAAAAGUCAUUUAAAUUUAUUAUAUUAUAAAGUUAUAAAGUACUGUUUCAAGUAUAUUUUAUUUUCAGAUGACUUGAAAUUGAGCUCGAAAGAAAUCCGAGGAACCCUUGAACUGGUCUCGAUAAAAAUAUUCAAGGACUUAUGAUGAAUUGUCCCACCUCUGAAUCGAAAACCAAUGCAAUGGACAUUUAACUGCAAUUCGAAACAAGAAAAAUCCAUAUUGCUUCACACUUAAAUUAUAGAAACUAUAAGCAUAGUUGAAGAGCAAGAGUAUUUAUACGACUCUGUGUCAAAAUGACAGCUAUUCCAAGACAACCCUAAACCCAAAUGACAGCAACUAUGAUUCCACAUGAUUUUGAGUCUGAAUCAAGCACAGUCUCGAGUAUUACACCUCCGUUACCAUGACUGUGUAUCAACUUAUCAUCAAAUCAACAGUUUUUAUAUAGUUGUUAUUAUAUUUCAAAAGUGGUUAUUUUUGUAAAAAAUAAAUU